GGCAGUCUGUUGGGCUUUCCUUCCAGUUUGUGGAAGUUUGUUGUUUUGCUGUUUGCGAUAAAUCCUGCUGAUGCUCUUUCUGUGGGUCUAUACUACCUUUAUGAGCUGUUAUACUAACUGCGAAGGUCUGUGGCUUCACUUCUGAAGCCAGCAAGACCACGAAUCCAACGGGAGGAAUGAACAACUCCAGAUAAGAACUGUAGUAACACUCGCCGUGAGGGUCCGCAGCUUCAUUGUUGAAGUCAGCUACACCAAGAACCCACUGGAAGGAACCAAUUCUGGACACAGGGGGACUUCGUGCACGCAGCACUCCAUGAGACCAUGAGCUUUCUCACCGGGCAGGAGGAGCCCAUCCCCAGCUACACGUCUGGGCCCAGCGCUCUCGGAGCUGCUUUGGAGAAACAUGCUUGGCGUUGUCUAUGCCAAUGGCCAGGCUCCUGGGACUCUACAGGUUUCUCCAGGUACGAAGAGAUGUCUUCUGUGCCCAGAGGAGCAGUACUCAAGCCGCACCAGAGAUGGCUGCCUGCCCAGGACAGAGACCUUCCUGGCCUUUGACGACCCCCUGGGACUCAUGCUCGCCUUGGUGGCGCUCAUGCUGGCCAGCCUGGCAGUGCUGGUCCUCAGACUGUUCUGAAGCACCGAGACACACCUGUGGUCGGGGCCAACAACAGAGCUCUCAGCUGCACGCCGCUCACCUCCCUGACCCUCUGUGCCCUCUGUCCCUUGCCUUGCCUUGGUUGUCCCACAGCUGCCACCUGCCGCCUCUACCAGACCACAGUUGCUGUUGUGUUCACCAUGGCUGUCUCUUCCGUCCUGGCCUUCAGGGUCACCAGGUGACAGGGUCUGGGUGUGCCUGGGACCUGGCGCUUCCACCUCGGUGGUCCUUGCUGCUUCCUUGGUGCAGGUUGUUCUCUGUGGCAUCUGGCUGGGCACUUCCCCACCAUUCCCAGAUGGGGACAUGGCCUCAGAGCCCAGCCACAUUGUCAUCCAGUGCUGAGAGGGCUCUGCUGUCGCUUUCUCCUGUGUGCUGGGCUACCUGGGCCUCCUGGCUGGGGGCACCUUCUUUGUAGCCUUCCUGGCCAGGGGUCUGCCAGACGCCUUCAACAAGUCCAAGUUCCUCACCUUCAGCGUGCUGCUGUUCUGCAGCUUCUGGACAACCUUCCUGCCCCUGUACCACAGCGCACAGGGCAAGUCCACUGUGGCCGUGGAGAUCUUUUCCAUCCUGGCUUCCAUGGCAGGGCUGCUGGGUGGCAUCUUUGCCCCAAAUGUUACAUCAUCCUGCUAAAGCCCGAGCGGAAUGCCCCAGACUGGGUGAGGCGAGGACACUGGGAUCGGUGGGAAACGUGGAGCCAGGAGCUCCUCAGACCUGCGCCAUAAACCCACGAGCCAGGCCUUGUUGAAGAUAUCAGGGCCCCUGAUUUGAGCUCUGGGCUUCUGUGUGGAUUAAAAGAUAGUUAAAGGAUGGGCGUGGUGGCUCACGCCUGUAAUCCUACCACUUUGGGAGGCUGAGAUGGGCAGAUCACUUGAGGUCAGGAGUUCAAGACCAGCCUGGCCAACAUGGUGAAACCCUGUCUGUACUCAAAAUACAAAAAUUAACCAGGUGUCGUGGUGUGCACCUAUAAUCCCAGCUACUUGGGAGGCUGAGGCAGGAGAAUCACUUGAACCUGGGUGGCAGAGGUUGCAGUGAGCCAAGAUCAUGCCAUUGCACUCCAGCCUGGGUGACAGAGCAAGACUCCAUCUCAAAAAAAAAAAAAAAAAAAAAAAAAAAGAAUAAAAGAUAAAAUUCAACAAUAAGAAAACAAG